GACGAACGCUGGCGGCGUGCUUAACACAUGCAAGUCGAACGGUAAGGCCCUUCGGGGUACACGAGUGGCGAACAGGUGAGUAACGCGUGAGUAACCUGCCCUUCACUCUGGGAUAACAGUUGGAAACGGCUGCUAAUACCGGAUAUUCAGCUCCUGUCGCAUGGUGGGGGUUGGAAAGUUUUGGUGGUGGAGGAUGGGCUCGCGUCCUAUCAGCUUGUUGGUGGGGUGAUGGCCUACCAAGGCGUCGACGGGUAGCCGGCCUGAGAGGGCGACCGGCCACAUUGGGACUGAGAUACCGCCCAAACUCCUACGGGAGGCAGCAGUGGGGAAUAUUGCACAAUGGGCGGAAGCCUGAUGCAGCAACGCCGCGUGCGGGAUGACGGCCUUCGGGUUGUAAACCGCUUUCAGCAGGGACGAAGCGCAAGUGACGGUACCUGCAGAAGAAGCACCGGCUAACUACGUG
rnacentral:rRNA from 1 species